CCUACGGGAGGCAGCAGUGGGGAAUAUUGCGCAAUGGGCGAAAGCCUGACGCAGCGACGCCGCGUGAGGGAUGAAGGUCUUCGGAUCGUAAACCUCUGUCAGCAGGGAAGAACGGUCACUGUGCUAAUCAGCAGUGAAGUGACGGUACCGGCAAAGGAAGCACCGGCUAACUCCGGGCCAGCAGCCGCGGUAAUACGGAGGGUGCGAGCGUUAAUCGGAAUUACUGGGCGUAAAGCGCUCGUAGGCGGUAUGUCAAGUCAAGGGUGAACUCCCCGCGCUCACCGUGGGAACUGCCUUUGAAACUGGCAACCUGGAGUGUGUGAGAGGAGAGUGGAAUUCCAGGUGUAGGAGUGAAAUCCGUAGAUAUCUGGAGGAACAUCUGUGGCGACGGCGACUAGCUGGACCAUAACUGACGCUGAGGUGCGAACGCGUGGGUAGCAAACAGGAUUAGAUACCCUUGUAGUC
rnacentral:rRNA from 1 species